AAAGGCUCNGGNNAUCANUUAUGGUUCCUUANAUCGUACCCACAAUUACUUGGAUAACUGUGGUAAUUCUANAGCUAACACAUGCAAACAGAGCUCCGACCGGAGACGGGAGGAGUGCUUUUAUUAGAUCAAAACCGAUCGGUGGCGGUGGCGCGUUCGCGUGCCUCUCGUCAUCGUCCAACUUGGUGACUCUGAAUAACUUUACGCUGAUCGCACGGCCUUCGCGCCGGCGACGCAUCUUUCAAAUGUCUGCCUUAUCAACUGUCGAUGGUAGGUUCUGCGCCUACCAUGGUCGUAACGGGUAACGGAGAAUCAGGGUUCGAUUCCGGAGAGGGAGCCUGAGAAACGGCUACCACAUCCAAGGAAGGCAGCAGGCGCGCAAAUUACCCACUCCCGGCACGGGGAGGUAGUGACGAAAAAUAACGAUACGGGACUCAUCCGAGGCCCCGUAAUCGGAAUGAGUACACUCUAAACCCUUUAACGAGGAUCAAUUGGAGGGCAAGUCUGGUGCCAGCAGCCGCGGUAAUUCCAGCUCCAAUAGCGUAUAUUAAAGUUGUUGCGGUUAAAAAGCUCGUAGUCGGAUUUGUGUUUCGCACCGCCGGUUCAACGUCCGCGGUGCGGACUGGCGUCNUGCGGGAGGACCGGGGCCUGGACCGCGCCGGUUCUCGUCCGGUCUCCUCCAAUUCAAUCCCGCCGCGGUGCUCUUAAUUGAGUGUCGAGGUGGGCCGGCACGUUUACUUUGAACAAAUUAGAGUGCUUAAAGCAGGCUAAAACUUCGCCUGAAUACUGUGUGCAUGGAAUAAUGGAAUAGGACCUCGGUUNUAUUUUGUUGGUUUUCGGAACCCCGAGGUAAUGAUUAAUAGGAACGGAUGGGGGCAUUCGUAUUGCGACGUUAGAGGUGAAAUUCNNGGAUNGUCGCAAGACGGANNNNNNNNNNNNNNNNNNNNNNNNNNUUUCCUUGAUCAAGAACNAAANUUNUAGGUUCGAAAGCGAUCANAUACCGCCCUANUUCUAACCUUAAACGAUGCCAGCUAGCGAUCCGUCGACAUUCCUCCGAUGACUCGACGGGCAGCUUCCGGGAAACCAAAGCUUUUGGGUUCCGGGGGAAGUAUGGUUGCAAAGCUGAAACUUAAAGGAAUUGACGGAAGGGCACCACCAGGAGUGGAGCCUGCGGCUUAAUUUGACUCAACACGGGAAACCUCACCAGGCCCGGACACCGGAAGGAUUGACAGAUUGAGAGCUCUUUCUUGAUUCGGUGGGUGGUGGUGCAUGGCCGUUCUUAGUUGGUGGAGCGAUUUGUCUGGUUAAUUCCGAUAACGAACGAGACUCUAGCCUGCUAAAUAGGCGUAUUUCGACAUCCUAAAGAUCCGUCGCCGGUCGAAUGUCGGGUUGUCGUUCGCCGCGGCGGCUCGUGCGAUCGCGCGUACGGUUUUUACUGUCGGCGUACAAUUAAUUCUUCUUAGAGGGACAGGCGGCUUCUAGCCGCACGAGAUUGAGCAAUAACAGGUCUGUGAUGCCCUUAGAUGUUCUGGGCCGCACGCGCGCUACACUGAAGGAAUCAGCGUGUCCUCCCUGGCCGAGCGGCCCGGGUAACCCGCUGAACCUCCUUCGUGCUAGGGAUUGGGGCUUGCAAUUGUUCCCCAUGAACGAGGAAUUCCCAAAAGCGCGAGUCAUAAGCUCGCGUUGAUUANGUCCCUGCCCUUUGU
rnacentral:rRNA from 1 species